UGAUGAAAUAUAAAUAGUUCUUCUUGCAGGUUCUUUAUAUGAAAAAGUAGAUACUUUACAUCAAGACUUUCAACAAUUCAAAACAGAGAUAAAACACGAAGCAGCUAAAAAUAACACAAAAUUGAAAGAAAUAGUUGCUAUUUUAAGAGAAAGUUUCCAAAGAAAUGAAGAAAAUGAAGCAAUAACUAUGGAUUUAAUGCCUGAAUUUUCAAUGACAUCCGUCGAGGAAUACGUUUUUACGUACAAUUUAAUGAAACAUUGAAAAAUGAUGAAGCAAUUCGUAAAUGUUUUGAAAAGAAAAUAAAGUGUAUUGGUGGUGACUCUACACAAAAAAUGAUCUCCAAUAUACUCACAUAUUGCAUAACAUUUGAUGUAGGACACAAGUUGACUUGGACUGGUGCAAAAAAUACUAUCGCAAUCGAAAAUACAACUUUUGCAAACAUUAUAGUUAGUACUGUCAAUCGUACAAAAGGAAAUGGACCUGACUGUACCAUUACAUUGAUUGUCAAGCAUGUAAAAAACUGGCUGCAACAUGCAGGUGAUAAAAUGAGAUAUCGAAACAAAAAAGUGCAACAAUAAAUUACUCUGUAAUUAGUAUACAGAGUGCCCGAUAAUUCCGCUAAAAACCGCGAUAUGAAAAUAGAUUAAGUGAAACUGAAAAAACAAUUCCUCUAUGAUUUUGCGAAGAACGACGUAAAAUUGUGUUAUUAAUUAAAGAAAUUAGCUAAUGAUCAAUUAAUUAAUAAUUCUAUAUUUUAUGUGGUUCUUCGCAAAAUGAUAUAGGAAUUUUUUCUUCAGUUUCACCUAAUCUACCUGUACAUCGUGUUUCUAAAGCGAGUUACCGCACAGCCUGUAUACUUAAUAAUAAGAAAUUAAUUAAUUAUAUCUUGCAUGGGCGUUGCCAGGAGGAGGCAGAGGAAGACGGUCCCCUAAACGUAGAAAAAAAUUUAUUUUUUUAUACGAAGGCGCUGAAGUUUUUUUUUUAUUUUUUACCGGCAAUAAAGUGAUAAAAUUUAUAUAAUUUUUUUGCAUUGAAUGCUUAAAUUGAAAGAGGUGGCUUGUGUAUGGUCUGCCUGAAAAAAAAUUCUGGCUACGCCCAUAUCUUAACAAGCAAGUAACGUUUUAACGCAAACAAUGUUGUUACGUUAUAUAAUUUAUAUGAAAACAUAUUUUAUUAUAAAAC